AAUUGUUAUCGUUUUGUAUCCUCCCAACAACGGCUAUAUUCACCACCGCCCCCGCCCAACGGUACAUUUCUCUCACAAAAUUGAUUCAAGUGUUCCCGUUACAUCUUUCUAUCCUCCUCUCUCCUCAUUACGAUUAAGCUCUCACAUCCGCUUUCUGCCUAUCGCUCUCUGAAAAGUUUUGGUUAGGGUUUCUCUCUCUCUAGAAUGGACAGUGGGAGUGAAGGGCUUCAUCAGAUGAACUGCUAAGGAAAUUUGCGGAAGGGGGUUCGGGAUCCAAAGACAAGGCCACCGCGAAGAAAGAGCUUUCGCAGUUGGCAAAACGACGCCGCUACCACCGGAAAAAAAUCACCGGAGAAAAUGACGAUGUGAGAGCCCCUCCACCUCCUCCUUAAGCCGCCGGGCCACCAGUUUGGUUGAGAGGAAAUCGUUUCUUCCUGCUGUGGCGGCAUCCACCCCACCCGGAUGUCGUCUGCGCUGAUUCGGCGGCUGGGGAUUGGGAGGUCAAGAACAUGUCCAUUUUCGCCACAAUUGACAAGCUUGUUCAUCCGGCCUACCAAUCCAUGUUAGGACACAUAAGGUCGGGAACUCUGGAUAGAUUCAAAGACGCAUUUCAUAAAGCUUUAAAUAGAGGGGAUGAGUUUUCUGUAGCUGCUUAUGAUUGCACUGAGUCUUUCACGUCUCUAUUUGAUGAAGGAUGUGCAGGAAACUUUCACCAGAGUAAAUGUUCCCAAAGAGUGGCUGCGAUGAUUUUUUCCACGGCGAAGCAUGGCUGGUAUUAAGGGCGAUACAUGUUAGAUUAGCACAAUACAUGGCGUAAAACAGUUGACAGGGCUUCAAAGGUCUUCUUGGAGAUGCAUUACAAUUGGCACAAGCGCUUGACAAAUGAUAUUGCUUAGACCAUGCUAUUUCACACUGGAAAUUUUUAUCAGACCUGGCGUGUUGGGAAGGAAGGUUUGGCCCUUGUGCACUACUAGCGUCUAACUUAUAUUUACUUAUUCUUGUAUAUGUAUUUUAUCACCACAGCAAAAUAAUUGUUGUAUUUUGUGUCAUACAAAUUAAGUUUUUUGCCCUCAAAGUUGUCUUUUAUGGAGCUGUGUGAUUUAAAUUGGUAAUCCAAUUUUCCCAUUAUGAUUUAUAAAAUUCAGUAAACAUUUUGAAGUGGAAAUUUUUAUUUGACCUGGCGUGUGGUGGAAGGAAAGCUUGGUCCUUGUGCGCUUCUAGCAUCCAACUUAUAUUUACUAUUCUUGUAUAGGUAUUUGUAUCACCACAACGAAAUAAUUGUUGUAUUUUGUGUCAUACAAAUUAAGUUUUUUGCCCUCAAAGUUGUCUUUUAUGGAGCUGUGUGAUUUAAAUUGGUAAUCCAAUUUUCCCAUUAUGAUUUAUAAAAUUCAGUAAACAUUUUGAAGUGGAAAUUUUUAUUUGACCUGGCGUGUGGUGGAAGGAAAGCUUGGUCCUUGUGCGCUUCUAGCAUCCAACUUAUAUUUACUAUUCUUGUAUAGGUAUUUGUAUCACCACAACGAAAUAAUUGUUGUAUUUUGUGUCAUACAAAUUAAGUUUUUUGCCCUCAAAGUUGUCUUUUAUGGAGCUGUGUGAUUUAAAUUGGUAAUCCAAUUUUCCCAUUAUGAUUUAUAAAAUUCAGUAAACAUUUUGAAGUGGAAAUUUUUAUUUGACCUGGCGUGUGGUGGAAGGAAAGCUUGGUCCUUGUGCGCUUCUAGCAUCCAACUUAUAUUUACUAUUCUUGUAUAGGUAUUUGUAUCACCACAACGAAAUAAUUGUUGUAUUUUGUGUCAUACAAAUUAAGUUUUUUGCCCUCAAAGUUGUCUUUUAUGGAGCUGUGUGAUUUAAAUUGGUAAUCCAAUUUUCCCAUUAUGAUUUAUAAAAUUCAGUAAACAUUUUGAAGUGGAAAUUUUUAUUUGACCUGGCGUGUGGUGGAAGGAAAGCUUGGUCCUUGUGCGCUUCUAGCAUCCAACUUAUAUUUACUAUUCUUGUAUAGGUAUUUGUAUCACCACAACGAAAUAAUUGUUGUAUUUUGUGUCAUAUAAAUUAAGUUCUGCCCUCAAAGUUGU